rnacentral:tRNA from 1 species
UGACUCAGUUGGUAGAGUGUGGUGCUUGCAAUGCUAGGGUUGUGGGUUCCAUUCCCAU